GGGCUAUAGCCAAGCGGUAAGGCAACGGACUUUGACUCCGUCAUGCGCUGGUUCGAAUCCUUCAUGGCUCAUCA
rnacentral:tRNA from 2 species